GUUAUCUUCUCCCCUCCAGAUAGGGCAUUCCACUGUGCUCCGUGUCAAAUCACAGAUUAAUAAUAACAGUGUGUUAGGAUGAUUUGUGAUGAUCUGCAGGGAAAAUGCUGCUGAGGGGGAUGAGUAUUUGUCUAACGAUGAAGAAGAGAUUGGUCUUCAAUUCGGUUGGUUUCUAUUUUUCGACGUCAUGCAGAUGGGAAAGAUUGUGAGCUCGAUUAAUUUCAAAUAAGGGUUGCAUUAUUAUGAACCCUCCCAAAGACAUGGAUAAAGUCGAUACCCAUACAUGUGUUUCAUUCUCCGCAAAUAGCCCUGUAGUGGUGAGUCGGUUGGGCGAGCGGAGCAGACUCGCAGAUAAAGGAGCUAUUAGUCUGUUUGUUUUUUAGGGUGAGUGUUUUUGUGGUACAAUUUUGUUAGCCCUG